CACAUAGUGGUCACCACGACCGGCAUCGCUGUCUGGCUGUUGCGGUUAAACCGUCCAUUCAUUUUCCAUGCGAUUUUGUCUGGGCGGGAUGGCAGGUAACUUGUUGGCUUGCUUGCGGUUCGCCGCUGGCUUUAGGUCUUCAGGUGUAAUUAGCUGACCGCAUCGGUUCUGUGCAGUAUGUCGGAGACGGCGGCUUGUGGUGUGUGCGUGCGUUCCAGUCGGUUGUCGUUUCCGGGUUUGGUCAUUAUGUUGCCUGUGUGUGCAGGCCUGGUGAUAUCUCGGGUGCGUUCGAUCGGCGGUUGCGUGCGUGUCACUAUAUCCAGGGCCAAUAGUCUGUGGUGUUGCGGUAGACUUUCCACCUGACCCGUCUUGAAACACGGACCAAGGAGAGUAACAUGUGCGCGAGUCAUUGGGCGUAACGAAACCCAAAGGCGAAGUGAAAGUGAAGGUCUGGCUUUGUCUGGACUGAGGUGAGAUCCUGUCGUUUCCCACGCGCGGUAUUACCAAGCAUCGAGCGGCAGGCGCAUCACCGGCCCGUCCCAUGGUGUGGUGACAUUCUUCGGAGUGUUCAUCACCGGGGCGGAGCAUGAGCGUACAUGUUGAGACCCGAAAGAUGGUGAACUA
rnacentral:rRNA from 1 species